AGACAUCACCCAGGAAGGAAAUAAGUGCUUUACUCAGCAAUGACAUGGAAGAAUGGGACCAAGGCCUGAAAAAAGUUUUGGACAGAGAGCUCAAGGCAAGUGACGAGAGGGAACUGAAAUUUGAAGAAGUAUUGAAGCCUCUGGAGGUUGAAUCAGACUUCGAAAGUAUUGUGGAUGUUUGGCUUCGGGGCGAAAGAACGGGA